rnacentral:rRNA from 1 species
AGCAGCCGCGGUAAUUCCAGCUCCAAUAGCGUAUAUUAAAGUUGUUGCAGUUAAAAAGCUCGUAGUUGAAUUUCGGGGUCAGUAGGCUGGUCGUGCCACAGGUAUGUACUGGUCUUACUGAUUCCUCCUUCCUGAUGAACCGUAAUGCCAUUAAUUUGGUGUUGCGGGGAAUCUGGACUGUUACUUUGAAAAAAAUUAGAGUGUUUAAAGCAGGCUCACGCUUGAAUACAUUAGCAUGGAAUAGUGAAAUAGGACGUUUGAUUCUAUUUUGUUGGUUUCUAGGAUCGACGUAAUGAUUAAUAGGGAUAGUUGGGGGCAUUAGUAUUCAAUUGUCAGAGGUGAAAUUCUUGGAUUUAUUGAAGACUAACUACUGCGAAAGCAUUUGCCAAGGAUGUUUUCAUUAAUCAAGAACGAAAGUUAGGGGAUCGAAGACGAUCAGAUACCGUCGUAGUCUUAACCAUAAACUAUGCCGACUAGGGAUCGGAUGAUGUUAAUUUUUAAUGA